rnacentral:rRNA from 1 species
UACGGGGGAGCAAGCGUUGUUCGGAUUUACUGGCGUAAAGGGCGCGUAGGCGGCCACCGCAAGUCGACUGUGAAAUCUCCGGGCUUAACCCGGAAAGGUCAGCCGAUACUGCGGGCUAGAGUGCAGAAGGGGCAACUGGAAUUCUCGGUGUAGCGGUGAAAUGCGUAGAUAUCGAGAGGAACACCUGCGGCGAAGGCGGGUGCUGGGCUGACACUGACGCUGAUGUGCGAAAGCUAGGGGAGCGAACGGG